ensembl:Y_RNA Y_RNA Y RNA
UAUUGGCCCGAGUGCACUGGUGUUUACAGCUAAUUGAUCACAACCAGUUAUAAAUUUGUUUCUUCUCCACUCCCACUGCUUCACUUGACUAGCCUUAA